rnacentral:rRNA from 1 species
CACGUAGGGGGCAAGCGUUGUCCGGAUUUAUUGGGCGUAAAGAGCUCGUAGGCGGCUCACUAAGUCGGGUGUGAAAUUUCGAGGCUCAACCUCGAAACGCCACCCGAUACUGGUGUGGCUAGAGUCCGGUAGGGGAGACUGGAAUUCCUGGUGUAGCGGUGAAAUGCGCAGAUAUCAGGAGGAACACCGGUGGCGAAGGCGGGUCUCUGGGCCGAUACUGACGCUGAGGAGCGAAAGCGUGGGGAGCGAACAGG